rnacentral:other from 1 species
ACUAACGGCAAUUCGGGGGAGUAGCCUGCCUGGUAAACAACAGGUGUAUACGUCAACAUCAUUGGUCAUUCGACUGUGGCGUAUACGGCAGUGUAGUGAAUACACUUCUUGGCGAGACUCGGGUGAUAGCACUGGUUAUUGAGGGCCUGGUGACUGUU